AUUGAACGCUGGCGGCAGGCCUAACACAUGCAAGUCGAGCGCGCGGCGGACGGGGGAGUAAUGUAUGGGGAUCUGCCCGCUAGGGGGGGAUAACUACUGUAAACGGUAGCUAAUACCGCAUACUCUCGGAUGAGCCCAUAUGGGAUUAGCUAGUGGGUGGGGUAAAGGCUCACCAAGGCAACGAUCCGUAGCUGGUUUGAGAGGACGACCAGCCACACUGGGACUGAGACACGGCCCAGACUCCUACGGGAGGCAGCAGUGGGGAAUAUUGGACAAUGGGGGAAAGCCUGAUGCAGCCAUCCCGCGUGUAUGAUGAAGGCCUUCGGGUUGUAAAGUACUUUCGGCAGAGAAGCGGUACCUGCAGAAGAAGCACCGGCUAACUACGUGCCAGCAGCCGCGGUAAUAC
rnacentral:rRNA from 1 species